GUGCUCGCUUUGGCUGUACAUAUCCUAAAAUUGGAAUGAUCCAGAGUUCAGCAUGGCCCCUGCACAAGGAUGACUUGCAAAUUCAUGAAGCAUUCUGUAUUUUA
ensembl:snRNA U6 U6 spliceosomal RNA